CUCUGCUCUCUCCUUUAGUCUGAGCCCCUGGUAGCUUUACACUCUGCUCUCUCCUUUAGUCUGAGCCCCUGGUAGCUUUACACUCUGCUCUCUCCUUUAGUCUGAGCCCCUGGUAGCUUUACACUCUGCUCUCUCCUUUAGUCUGAGCCCCUGGUAAACUCCUUUAGAACCCAUGUGGUUAUUUAAGAUAGGAAACAAACAUUCAAAAUGCAACAGGAAAGAAAUACCUUGUAAAAUCUACUGAGUUAUGAUUUUUGUGUAGGCAGGGGCUACAGUUUAUAGGGUUAACUAAAGGAAACUUGGACAGUCCUUUCAAAAAUUAUGGCUGUGGUUUGUUUCUCUGAAAUAUGAUAUUAGAGAACUGGUCAACACUGCAAGUCCUGAGUUGAGAAAACGUUUUAAAGUGUAAUAGGUGUUUACUAGUUGUGUUAGAUUUAACAACAUGCCACAGAGAGAGCAGUGAGUGAGCAGGGGACAGUGCUGCAAGUGUCAUCACGUCAGUCAACUCGGGGAGGGCAUCUGGCCGUUUAAAAUGGUGUGAAUAUGAUCGGCAUCAGUGUAGACAGUCAACGGUAGCAAGUGGACUGACUGGAUUGGAUUUCAGGCCCUUCUGCAACUAAAAGUGUAUGAAUUUAAAUUGGGGAAACCAACAAGAAGCAAACUUUUACAGGGCAGUAAAAAACGACCGAGAAAGUGACAGUUGGGGCCGUGGAGGGUGAAGCGCUUACCCUUGAGAGGGGUAAAAGAUGACUGUUGUGUCCCGUGAGAACCUGGACGAGACUGUGGUAGUUUCUCCCCUGUACCAAGAUGAUUGCGACGUGGAGCGAGGCGAUCAGGAGUGCAGCGAGAGGGUUGUCAUCAACAUCUCCGGGCUGCGCUUCGAAACACAACUGAAGACCCUCUCGCGCUUUCCCACCACGCUCUUGGGAGACCCGCGUAAAAGGAUGCGCUUUUUCGAUCCGUUGAGAAAUGAGUACUUUUUUGACAGGAAUAGACCCAGCUUUGAUGCUAUCCUUUAUUAUUACCAGUCUGGAGGAAGGCUUAGGAGACCUGUCAACGUUACCAUGGACAUUUUCAUGGAAGAAAUGAAAUUUUAUGAAAUUGAAGAUGAGGCCAUAGAGAUGUUCAAAGAAGAUGAAGGUAUGAUCAUAGAGGUGGAACGUCCGAUGCCUGACAACGAGUUUCAGCGCCAGAUGUGGUUGUUAUUUGAGUACCCGGAGAGCUCAGGGCCUGCCCGGAUGAUCGCUGUCGUAUCAGUCAGUGUGAUUUUGAUAUCCAUUGUGAUAUUCUGUCUAGAGACUUUGCCACAGUUCAGGGAAGAUACCAGCGCAGGCCUACCAUUCAGUAAUCACCUCACCACGAAUGGGACUACUGUCCAUAGAAAACCCAAUCCAUUCACAGAUCCGUUUUUCAUGGUGGAGACACUUUGCAUCGUGUGGUUUUCCUUUGAGUUUCUCAUGAGGUUUUUAUCGUGCCCGUGCAAACCGGCUUUUUUCAAAAACGCAAUGAACUCCAUCGAUAUCUUAGCGAUUGCACCUUAUUUCAUAACCCUUGGCCUUGAACUCGCAGAGCUACAGGGAGCAGGAAGCGAGCAGGCCAUGUCGUUAGCCAUACUCAGAGUCAUCCGUUUGGUUCGAGUCUUCAGGAUUUUUAAACUUUCCAGGCACUCCAAGGGGCUCCAAAUUCUGGGCCAGACACUCCACGCCAGCAUCAGCGAACUCGGGCUUUUGAUAUUCUUUCUUCUCAUAGGGGUUAUUCUGUUUUCCAGCGCUGUUUAUUUUGCAGAGGCAGACGACCCUGAAUCGGGAUUCUCAAGUAUCCCCGCCGCUUUCUGGUGGGCAGUGGUGUCCAUGACUACGGUUGGAUAUGGAGACAUGUGCCCGGUUACAAUUGGUGGCAAAAUAGUGGGAUCUAUGUGUGCCAUCGCAGGAGUGCUGACCAUUGCCCUACCUGUCCCUGUCAUCGUGUCCAAUUUUAACUAUUUCUAUCACAGAGAGCGUAAUGACGAGGAAACCGCCGUGUAUACCCACGUGACUUGUGGUCAACAGAACGCUUCAUUUGGAGAAUUCAAAUCGACCAGCGACAGCAAACAGUCCCUCACCAAAUCAGAGUACAUGGAAGAGGAUUCUUGCGAGACUAUCAGAUUAACAAACUUCAACCCAUUUGAACAGUACACUGGCAAGCUGACGGAUGUAUGAAAACAAGCAUCGGCCUAGUUGAGCAGAAAAACCUGUCUUGCCUAUAGAAUUUCUGAACUCGGAGCGCCACUGUGUGGUUGAAAUGCAGUCGUGCAGCAGACGCUUUCAAGGGGACAAGAUCAAAGACCCUUGCCUUUCUGUUCCACUUGAAACGAAAUACGAUUCCAUAUAUAUUUGUAACUGGAAAAGUCAAGAUAUUGAACAAACAUCACACGCUUGUCCCAUUAACUACUGGCCAGCAAUGUGAGAUGACAGGUGCUGCUACAUCAUCAAAUGGAGAGCCCCCUGAACAAACUACACUUUUGGAAAAUAGUCUUUGGAAUAGUCUUUGGAAAAUAGAUACUUUUCUUUUUAACUCAAUGAACCUUUCAAUGUACUUUGCAAUGUAUUCAAUUAACUGAAAUGACUACUGUGUAGAUAUCCUGUAAUGUAUUGUUGUAAAUGCUAUCCUUAUGUUCUCAGCUCAGAAUCUUAAUGCAAACAUGCCUUGCUCUGCGUGACCCUUAUGUGGAAGAUUUUGAAGGAACUAUUUGUGUAGUCCUUUAUUUUAUAUAACUAUUUAUUGUACAAAAAUGCAGAUUUAGCUGUAAACGGUCCUUGGGAAUUAAUCACUGGUCUUAAAAUAACUUGCCCAUAGGAAUCUAAUUAUGUCUGCAUUUUAGGAGAAAUCAAUUGUACUCUAAAAUGUUAAUGAAAUAUCUAUUUAUAUUUUUCUAAGAUUGUAAAAUUGUAUGUGAACUUUUGAACUAUAUUUUUUAAAUAAAUAAAUGCUUAUUA